rnacentral:rRNA from 2 species
CGAAAAUGAAUCAAAACUUUCAACAACGGAUCUCUUGGUUCUGGCAUCGAUGAAGAACGCAGCGAAAUGCGAUAAGUAAUGUGAAUUGCAGAAUUCAGUGAAUCAUCGAAUCUUUGAACGCACAUUGCGCCCGCCAGUAUUCUGGCGGGCAUGCCUGUCCG